rnacentral:misc_RNA from 1 species
AUGACGUGUUCAGCGCGUGCGG